GGGGUUGCUUGCUGGCUGAAAGGAAGGAGAAUCAAAUUUAGAAAUAUCUGGAAGGAAAUCCAGAUAUAGGCUAUUAAUAGAUGAGAGGUGAAGCUAGGCUAAUAUUAGCUGCUGAGGUAAUUAUCCAGUUGAUAUUUAUCUUGUUCCAGUCACCUUAAGAAAGCUGUUUGGUUUUGGAAAUCACUAGUGGGUAAAAAAGACCAAUUUGCAACUAGGCUGUCAUGCUCUGUUGAAAACUAUGUCACAAUAUCACAAUACUAGAUGUUGGGCUCAAGACAGCAAACAGAAAGCAGCAAGGGCAGUGACUGGAAGCUGGGAGAGAGGGUCAACAGCUGAAUCUC
rnacentral:antisense_RNA from 1 species